rnacentral:lncRNA from 1 species
UCAUAAUUGCUUGUUUUCAUAUACAUGUAAAAAAAAUAGAAUUUCACAAGUCAUCAUCACUUACUCUUGUGUGCAUACUGAUACUUCUGAAUUGUAUAACAAACGAAUCAGUAAUGAGCUGUAUGAAGCAUACAUUUAACUUCAAUCUUUGGCGAAGGUGGAUCCAUACAGGCAUGGGUCAAUUAAAUCUUCUAGUGCCAUAACUCCCACAAACAUACAUUCACCAUAUCAAAAUUUACAGCUAUAACUAAUAUUCAACCCACAAACUAUAACAAAACCAGACUUAAUAUUACAGAUCCAAGCUCAAAAUAGACAAAAGCAAGCACAACCUAGAUUCAAGACUACUAUAGCAUCUAACAGCCAUAUCAAAGGAAAAUUACUACUCAACAAACAUGUUCAACUAACUACAGUCUAUGUUGAGAGUGCAUGAGUUGAAACUUCACAUAAUUAGAAUGAAUAGAAGAAAAUAACAACACAACAAAUGAAAAUCCACCAGUUGCACUAUGUUCAUUUAAUCCCAAAUCAUGCUUCAAUUACAUGCUUAAAUGAACUCCAUGAGGAUCGAAAUAUACUUGGAAAUAACAAAAAAAGAGCAGAGAGGUGAAGUAUCAGCAGAAAAGCAGCAAGAACCCAGCAACAAUACAGUCAAUGGAGCUACUAGACCAUAAUCAAACAGCUUCAAACCCAAACUUCUCAACGGAUGUGACUUCCAAUUGUCAAACCAGAUUCGAAUUGAAAAUUCAGCUCACAACAAAUUUUUAAAGGCAAAAGAAAACCAGACUAGGCCAUAUUUAACCCCAAAUGGUUAAAAUACUUUUUAAAAGAUUGAACAGUAACUACGGUAAUCAAAACAAAAUGCAGCCGCUCAGUUUUUUAUUUUUAGCUCUCUCUCUCUCUCUCUCUCUCUCUCUAUCUAUCUCUAGGUCUGCCUUGCAUAUCAAGUUAGAUAGCCCCUAAUUCCUGACUUUCUACCUAGGUUUUAAUACCUAUCCAUCUGAAGUUUUACUAAAGCCCCUCACUAGAAGUUUCCAAAUCAGUUAGAGAAAAGAUUCCCUACCUAAAAUACCUAGACUACCCUCCAAUACCAUGAAAUUAACCGUUGAUAUCCAAACAAUACUUUGGGCUCAAAACAAACAGGCUAGUUUGAGUUUAAGGUAUUAAUUAGAAAAUAAAAUGGUAAAAAACAAACAACGAGGGCCCAAGGAUCGGAUCUAAAAAACCAAGUAAUUUAAUCAUACAACUUUAAACUACCUAUUAGCAAUUAAGACCUGAACAACAAAGCAAAACCAAAAUAGUGAAAUAAUUACAAUCUUUCAAGGGAACUAACAUGAAUUAUCCUAAAAUUACUCCUUACUAACAUGAAUUAUCCUAAAAUUACUGCUAUGUGAAAUUAAUCUACUGGGCAAUCAAACAAACGAAAAUACAAAGAAAGAACAGAAAUAGGGGAACGAAUAAGAGAAAAUGAAGCCAAACAAGGAACAUAAAAAAGAACGGAAAGAGUACCUCAAACUCAAAUGAACACAGCCAACUAAACCCCGACCAACUCUGACUCGAUUCAAAACAGGUAUUAACCAUAUGUUCUCGACGAGAACAAAUGAUCAAUACCCAUUUUAAACCCAUCACCCGAAGGUUUGCCAGACUUGCCUCUUUUUUAAUUUCAGAUUCAAGAAAAUAUGAAUUCGGUGAGAAUUUAUUGAGGAACGGUGGUGGAUUAGGGCUAAGGGAAAAGUAGUGGUUGUAUGGGUGAAAUUUGGGGUUAUACGGAGUGGAGCUACCACCGGAGAGAACAAGGGUGGCGCUAAGUUUUCCCUUUAAAAUCAAUAUUAGAGGAUUUCUGGGUAUAUUUGAGGGGAAGUGUUUGAGUAUUCAAGAUGAGGAGACAAAGGAGGGUUGUGGAGUAAUUUUCAUGGCGAUUAAACGUUGGCCGCAAUCGUAGGCGAUUUCCGGCGGGCGACAGGAGAUGGCUUUAGUGUUCGUCUCUGAAGAGAUUGAGAGAGAUGAUGGGAGAG